rnacentral:rRNA from 1 species
UACAGAGGAUGCAAGCGUUAUCCGGAAUGAUUGGGCGUAAAGCGUCUGUAGGUGGCUUUUAAGUCCGCCGUCAAAUCCCAGGCUCAACUCUGGACAGGACGGUGGAAACUACCAAGCUGGAGUUACGGUAGGGGCAGAGGGAAUUUCCGGUGGAGCGGUGAAAUGCGUAGAGAUCGGAAAGAACACCAACGGCGAAAGCACUCUGCUGGGCCGACACUGACACUGAGAGACGAAAGCUAGGGGAGCGAAUGGG